UCGGGAAUUUUGCCCAAUGGACGAAAGUCUGAGGCAGCAACUCCGCGUGAGGGAUGAAGGCUCUCGGGUCGUAAACCUCUUUUCUCAGGGAAGAUCCAAGACGGUACCUGAGGAAUAAGCGACGGCUAACUACGUGCCAGCAGCCGCGGUAAUACGUAGGUCGCAAGCGUUGUCCGGAUUUACUGGGCGUAAAGAGCGCGCAGGCGGCUGGUCAAGUCCGAUGUGAAAUCUCCCGGCUCAACUGGGAAACUGCAUCGGAAACUGAUCGGCUUGAAGGUGGGAGAGGGUAGUGGAAUUCCCGGUGUAGUGGUGAAAUGCGUAGAUAUCGGGAGGAACACCGGUGGCGAAGGCGGUUCUCUGGGCCUGUACUGACGCUGAGGAGCGAAAGCGUGGGGAGCGAA
rnacentral:rRNA from 1 species